GAUGAACGCUGGCGGCGUGCUUAACACAUGCAAGUCGAACGAUGAAGCCCAGCUUGCUGGGUGGAUUAGUGGCGAACGGGUGAGUAACACGUGAGUAACCUGCCCUUAACUCUGGGAUAAGCCUGGGAAACUGGGUCUAAUACCGGAUAGGAGCGCCUACCGCAUGGUGGGUGUUGGAAAGAUUUAUCGGUUUUGGAUGGACUCGCGGCCCAUCAGCUUGUUGGUGAGGUAAUGGCUCACCAAGGCGACGACGGGUAGCCGGCCUGAGAGGGUGACCGGCCACACUGGGACUGAGACACGGCCCAGACUCCUACGGGAGGCAGCAGUGGGGAAUAUUGCACAAUGGGCGGAAGCCUGAUGCAGCGACGCCGCGUGAGGGAUGACGGCCUUCGGGUUGUAAACCUCUUUCAGUAGGGAAGAAGCGAAAGUGACGGUACCUGCAGAAGAAGCACCGGCUAACUACGUG
rnacentral:rRNA from 1 species